rnacentral:ncRNA from 1 species
GCUUAACCGGGUAGGGGAGGCGAAGGGAAACCGAGUCUGAAUAGGGCGUAUAGUCUAUGGCAGUAGACCCGAAACCGAGUGAUCUAUCCUUGACCAGGUUGAAGGUGCGGUAACACGCACUGGAGGACCGAACCCACAUCUGUUGCAAUAGAUGGGGAUGAGUUGAGGAUUGGAGUGAAAGGCUAAACAAACUCGGAGAUAGCUGGUUCUCCUCGAAAGCUAUUUAGGUAGCGCCUUGUAUGAAUCUUCCUGGGGGUAGAGCACUGUUAUGGCUAGCGGGUCAUCGCGACUUAGUAAACCAUGGCAAACUGCGAAUACCAGGACAGAGUGUACGGGAGACACACGGCGGGUGCUAACGUCCGUCGUGGAGAGGGAAACAACCCAGACCCGCAGCUAAGGUCCCCAAGUUAGUGCUGAGUGGAAAACGAAGUGGGAAGGCAUAGACAGCCAGGAGGUUGGCUUAGAAGCAGCCACCCUUUAAAGAAAGCGUAAUAGCUCACUGGUCGAGUCGGCCUGCGCGGAAGAUUUAACGGGGCUAAGCACUACACCGAAGCUCGGGGUGCAUGCAUGGCAUGCGCGGUAGAGGAGCGUUCUGUAAGCCUGAGAAGGUGGGUUGAGAAGCCUGCUGGAGGUAUCAGAAGUGCGAAUGCUGACAUGA